rnacentral:rRNA from 1 species
GACGAACGCUGGCGGCGUGCUUAACACAUGCAAGUCGAACGGAAAGGCCCUGCUUUUGUGGGGUGCUCGAGUGGCGAACGGGUGAGUAACACGUGAGUAACCUGCCCUUGACUUUGGGAUAACUUCAGGAAACUGGGGCUAAUACCGGAUAGGAGCUCCUGCUGCAUGGUGGGGGUUGGAAAGUUUCGGCGGUUGGGGAUGGACUCGCGGCUUAUCAGCUUGUUGGUGGGGUAGUGGCUUACCAAGGCUUUGACGGGUAGCCGGCCUGAGAGGGUGACCGGCCACAUUGGGACUGAGAUACGGCCCAGACUCCUACGGGAGGGAGCAGGGGGGAAUAUUGCACAAUGGGCGGAAGGCUGAUGCAGGCACGGCGCGUGCGGGAUGACGGCCUUCGGGGUGGAAACCGCUUUUCCCUGGGAAGAAGCGGGAGUGACGGUAAUGGGUAAAGAAGCAACGGCUAACUACGGG